rnacentral:lncRNA from 1 species
CUCUUCGUUGCUGUCCCCUGCGUUUUCUGGUCGUCCAGGGAGGCUCUGUUUGGCAAAGCUGCAGAAUCUGGGGAACCCGCCUCACACCGCUGGGUCUCCCCCCCCCCCCCUUCUAGUUUUUUCCCCCUUCCUUUUUAUUUCCUCCCUCUUUCUCGUCCCCCUUCCCUCCUUUUCACUCUCUCCUCCUAGGCGUACCUUUCCGGAGCCUGGAGCCCUCUUCAUCCACCAUGGGGUUAGGGUGGUGUCUGGUACAGGUUGCGGAGGAGGGCUCGACUGGGCACAAUCGCAGGGCUCUUUCCUUGGCGGCGACAGUGGCAGCAGCGGAGGCGGCGAGGGGCGAGGCAACCCUACGCCCGCAGCAUCAGAACUGGUCGGUGAUUUAGGUAGUUUCCUGUUGUUGGGAUCCACCUUUCUCUCGACAGCACGACACUGCCUUCAUUACUUCAGUUGA